rnacentral:rRNA from 1 species
UUGAACGCUGGCGGCAUGCCUUACACAUGCAAGUCGAACGGCAGCACGGGGGCAACCCUGGUGGCGAGUGGCGAACGGGUGAGUAAUGCAUCGGAACGUGCCCAGUAGUGGGGGAUAGCUCGGCGAAAGCCGAAUUAAUACCGCAUACGUACUGAGGUAGAAAGCGGGGGACCGUAAGGCCUCGCGCUACUGGAGCGGCCGAUGUCGGAUUAGCUUGUUGGUGGGGUAAAAGCCUACCAAGGCGACGAUCCGUAACUGGUCUGAGAGGACGACCAGUCACACUGGGACUGAGACACGGCCCAGACUCCUACGGGAGGCAGCAGUGGGGAAUUUUGGACAAUGGGCGCAAGCCUGAUCCAGCAAUGCCGCGUGUGUGAAGAAGGCCUUCGGGUUGUAAAGCACUUUUGUCCGGGAAGAAAUCUGUCUGGCUAAUACCUGGACGGGAUGACGGUACCGGAAGAAUAAGCACCGGCUAACUACGU